CCUACGGGAGGCAGCAGUGGGGAAUAUUGGACAAUGGGGGGAACCCUGAUCCAGCGACGCCGCGUGAGUGAAGAAGUAUUUCGGUAUGUAAAGCUCUAUCAGCAGGGAAGAAAAUGACGGUACCUGACUAAGAAGCCCCGGCUAACUACGUGCCAGCAGCCGCGGUAAUACGUAGGGGGCAAGCGUUAUCCGGAUUUACUGGGUGUAAAGGGAGCGUAGACGGGGCAGCAAGUCUGAUGUGAAAGGUCGGGGCCCAACCCCGGGACUGCAUUGGAAACUGUAUGGCUGGAGUGCAGGAGAGGUAAGUGGAAUUCGUAGUGUAGCGGUGAAAUGCGUAGAUAUUAGGAGGAACACCAGUGGCGAAGGCGGCUUACUGGACUGUAACUGACGUUGAGGCUCGAAAGCGUGGGGAGCAAACAGGAUUAGAUACCCUAGUAGUC
rnacentral:rRNA from 1 species